GUCGAGAAUCUUUCACAAUGGGGGCAACCCUGAUGGAGCGACGCCGCGUGGAGGAUAAGGUCUUCGGAUUGUAAACUCCUGUCAUGCGUGAACAAGGUUGCUUGGUUAAUACCUGGGCAAAUUGAUGGUAACGCAAGAGGAAGAGACGGCUAACUCUGUGCCAGCAGCCGCGGUAAUACAGAGGUCUCAAGCGUUGUUCGGAAUCACUGGGCGUAAAGGGUGCGUAGGUGGCGUGGUAAGUCAGAUGUGAAAGCCCGGGGCUCAACCUCGGAACGGCAUCCGAUACUGCCAGGCUAGAGUACUGGAGAGGUGACUAGAAUUCUCGGUGUAGCAGUGAAAUGCGUAGAUAUCGAGAGGAAUACCAAAGGCGUAGGCAGGUCACUGGACAGUUACUGACACUGAGGCACGAAGGCCAGGGGAGCGAACGGGAUUAGAAACCCGUGUAGUCC
rnacentral:rRNA from 1 species